AUUGAACGCUGGCGGCAUGCCUUACACAUGCAAGUCGAACGGUAACAGGUCUUCGGAUGCUGACGAGUGGCGAACGGGUGAGUAAUACAUCGGAACGUGCCUAGUAGUGGGGGAUAACUACUCGAAAGAGUGGCUAAUACCGCAUGAGAUCUACGGAUGAAAGCAGGGGAUCGCAAGACCUCGUGCUACUAGAGCGGCCGAUGGCAGAUUAGGUAGUUGGUGGGAUAAAAGCUUACCAAGCCGACGAUCUGUAGCUGGUCUGAGAGGACGAUCAGCCACACGAGGACUGAGAAACUGCCCAGACUCCUACGGGAGGCAGCAGUGGGGAAUUUUGGACAAUGUGCGCAAGCCUGAUCCAGCAAUGCCGCGUGCAGGAUGAAGGCCUUCGGGUUGUAAACUGCUUUUGUACGGAACGAAAAGCCCCGGGUUAAUACCCUGGGGUCAUGACGGUACCGUAAGAAUAAGCACCGGCUAACUACGUGCCAGCAGCCGCCGUAA
rnacentral:rRNA from 1 species